rnacentral:rRNA from 1 species
AUUGAACGCUGGCGGCAGGCCUAACACAUGCAAGUCGAGCGAGCGGCGGACGGGUGAGUAAUGUAUGGGGAUCUGCCCGAUAGAGGGGGAUAACUACUGGAAACGGUAGCUAAUACCGCAUACUUUCGGAUCAACCCAUAUGGGAUUGGCUAGUAGGUGGGGUAAAGGCUCACCUAGGCGCCGAUCUCUAGCUGGUCUGAGAGGAUGAUCAGCAACACUGGAACUGAGACACGGCCCAGACUCUAACGGGAGGCAGCAGUGGGGAAUAUUGAACAAUGGGCGCAAGCCUGAUGCAGCCAUGCCGCGGGGAUGAAGAAGGCCUUAGGGUGGUAAAGUACUUUAAGCGGGGAGGCGUUACCCGCAUAAGAAGCAACGGCUAACUCCGUGCCAGCCGCCGCGGUAAUAC